CGGGGUAUAGCUCAGUUGGUUAGAGCGCGCGGUUUGGGACCGCGAGGCCGCUGGUUCGAGUCCAGCUACCCCGA
rnacentral:tRNA from 1 species